CUGGUAUUGUGUUUUAUCGCCGUGGUCCAUUUUGACCCGAGGCCCUUUCACGACACCAACGAAUAACACACACCGACGUAGCAGUUACGCUGACGUCUUAACACUCAACUAUAUACCAAGUCUGUUACCGUAGUUAUUCGAUGUUCCAAAUUUAAUGUCAUUGUUUAUGAAGGUAGAGCGAUAGCCUGGCAUGACAAGACGCCUUGUGGUCGCACAGUCGUAUUCUGAUAUAUCACAAUGGGAUCUGGCGUCUCGUUACCAGGGGGAAUAGACAACGUUCUAUCCGAUUUCAAGCCCAAGGAAGGAAGAUAUCCAUUGAAGCGAUACAAGGCAGCCCACGAUGUAUCAAGAGUUGUACAUCUCAAGAGAGAGGCCGUGAACUUCGACCUUUGUGUGGUCGGAACGACUCUUGAGAUACCCUUGAACAAAAUUGCACCGACAGAG